rnacentral:piRNA from 1 species
UAAUGAUCAGUGUGAUUACCAAUGACUGU